AACGAACGCUGGCGGCAUGCCUAACACAUGCAAGUCGAACGAGACCUUCGGGUCUAGUGGCGCACGGGUGCGUAACGCGUGGGAACCUGCCCUUAGGUUCGGAAUAACUCCCCGAAAGGGGUGCUAAUACCGGAUAAUGUCUUCGGACCAAAGAUUUAUCGCCUUUGGAUGGGCCCGCGUUGGAUUAGCUAGUUGGUAGGGUAAAAGCCUACCAAGCGACGAUCCAUAGCUGGUCUGAGAGGAUGAUCAGCCACACUGGGACUGAGACACGGCCCAGACUCCUACGGGAGGCAGCAGUGGGGAAUAUUGGACAAUGGGCGAAAGCCUGAUCCAGCAAUGCCGCGUGAGUGAUGAAGGCCUUAGGGUUGUAAAGCUCUUUUACCCGGGAUGAUAAUGACAGUACCGGGAGAAUAAGCUCCGGCUAACUCCGUG
rnacentral:rRNA from 1 species